GGAUAGAGAAAGUGCUUGCUUGUCAGGCACGCGCAGGGAAGGAAAUGUCACGCGUUGAAAUCAGCUCUUUUUGAAGUUGAUAUUCUGUUUGGAUCUGAUACAGGCAAGAUACAAGACGUCCUGCGAGUUCCCGGCAAUACAGAUAACCGAUGACAGACGCCAGCCAAUUUGCUGUCCCGCCGCACCAGAGCAAAGCACUAGAAAUAUGGGCAGAGGAGUGACCCUUUGGCUGUGUCGCCCAUCCAUCCGAACCCGGUGGUGGGCUGGCCACCGUGGUAAUUGCCUGCGAAACAGUGUUUUGACAAGCCAGACGGGUGUAAGCCAUCAUUCUAGCAGCACGGUGAUGAGGUGUCACCUGGAGAGAGCUGUUGAGAGCCCACAUGUUUACAUGCAGCCAGUGUGGUUCCACUGAGACAGCAGUAAUCCAUUAAGAAGGGGGCUGAUCCUGCGAGGGGUUUGAUGAAGUUGAAGCUCCUCUGCCCCAUGCAGAAGGGCGUUUAGUGCUGCCGGCCCCACUGCUAGUGUGCAAGGAUAUAUCACCUGCGUACUCACUGUUUCAUCAUACCUCUAUAUUCCUCUACUCUCCAAACAGUCUUCGGUGCUUUAGACUGGGUGUCCAAUG